UUUUUUCUUUUCUUUACGGUAAUGAUGCGGGAAAGUGCCCUGCAGCUGUGUUCUUUUCGUAACACGCGUUGCGAUCCGUUAACCUAGCGUAAUAUGCGUCGACGUCGCCUUUUGCUGUAUUUCUAAGGGCGAGGAAGUAGUCUUGGCAACUGUUUUGGGGCCCAGUACGAUGGAAAAUGUCAAUAAAGCUGCCAAGACGAACCCAGCAGCGUCGGCGAAUCUCCUCUCCAAGUUAAUUUUCUGGUGGCUCAAUCCUCUCUUCCGCGCUGGAUACAAACGCAAGCUUGAGGAAGAUGACUUAUACCCGGUGCUGGCGGAGGACAGCUCAGAGAUCCUGGGGCAGCAGUUGCAAAGAUACUGGGAACAUGAAGUCCAGGAGGCCACAAAAGAAUUGCGGAAGCCAAAACUCUCAAGAGUCAUCAUUAGGUGUUUUUGGAAGAUAUAUUCAGUGCUGGGAUUGUUUACCCUUGUUGAGGAGGUGAUAAAGGUGAUCCAGCCAGUCCUUCUAGGGUACAUGAUUCGCUACUUUGAGGAUUAUGACCCACUCAAUAAAGCGGCCCUGUAUGAGACCAUUGGUUAUGCAGCUGGGCUGACUAUCUGCACCAUGGGCCUGAAUCUGCUGCACCACCUCUACUUCUUCCACGUCCAGCGAGUUGGCAUGAAAAUCAGAGUGGCCAUGUGUGGCAUGAUCUACAAAAAGGCUUUGUGUCUCAGCUGUUCUGCAAUGGGAAAGACCACCACAGGUCAGAUUGUGAACCUGCUUUCCAAUGAUGUCAACAAGUUUGAUGAAGUAACAAUCUUUCUGCACUUCCUGUGGGUGGGACCCCUCCAGGCAGCAGUUGUGGUGGGACUCUUGUGGCAGGAGAUUGGGCCAUCUUGCCUGGCAGGCAUGGUGGUCCUCAUGUUCCUAAUGCCCACGCAGACCCUAUUCGGGAGGCUGUUUUCGAAGUUCAGGAGUAAGACGGCAAUUCUUACUGACAGCAGGAUCCGCAUAAUGAAUGAAGUGGUGUCUGGAAUGAGGAUCAUCAAGAUGUAUGCCUGGGAAAAACCAUUUGCUGCUUUGGUGUCGGACGUCAGAAGGAAGGAGAUCCAUCAGAUCAUGAUGAGUUCGUAUUUGCGUGGCCUCAACAUGGCCUCCUUCUUCUGUGCCAGCAAGAUCAUCGUCUUCAUCACCUUCACCCUCUAUGUCCUGUUGGGGAACAAAAUCUCAGCCAGCCGAGUAUUUGUGACUGUGUCACUGUACACAGCAGUACGCCUCACUGUCACGCUCUUCUUUCCCAGCGCCAUAGAGAAACUCUAUGAGAGCAGUGUCAGCAUUCAGAGGAUCCAGGAGUUCUUGUUGCUGGAUGAGAUGACAAAGACGAGUACAUCUCUGCCGCUUGCCGAGAAGCAAGAUUCUGCUGUUGAGAUCCAGGACCUUAUGUGCUACUGGGAUAAGAGUCUGGAUGCACCAUGUCUGCAGAAUGUCACACUCAGUCUGACUGGAAAACAGCUGUUGGCUGUUAUUGGACCAGUGGGUGCAGGGAAGUCCUCGUUAUUGAGCUCAAUCUUGGGCGAGCUUCCUGCUGAAAAGGGGGCAUUGAAGGUCAAAGGUCAGCUAACCUAUGCAUCACAACAGCCAUGGGUGUAUCCUGGCACUAUCCGCAGCAACAUCUUGUUUGGGAAGGACAUGGAUCUGCGCCUGUACGAAAAAGUACUCAAGGCUUGUGCUUUAAAGCGGGACCUGGAGCUGCUCCCGGAUGGAGACCUGACACUGAUUGGGGACCGUGGCGCCACACUCAGUGGGGGGCAGAAGGCUCGUGUCAACCUGGCGAGAGCUGUUUAUCAGGAUGCUGAUAUUUACCUUUUGGAUGAUCCUCUCAGUGCUGUGGACGCUGAAGUUGGAAGGCACCUCUUUGAACAAUGCAUCUGUGGCCUGCUGAAGAACAAACCCCGCAUCCUGGUCACUCACCAACUACAGUACCUGAAGGGAGCAGACCAGAUUGUGGUUCUCAAAGAGGGCCACAUGGUGACCAAGGGGACAUACACUGAGCUACAGCAAUCCGGGCUGGAUUUCACCUCACUGUUGAAGAAGAAGGAGGAGGAGGAGGAGGAGGAACUCCAUCAGUCAUCGUCAGACCUCACCUCCCGAAACCGGACUUUGUCACAGAACUCAGUGCGGUCUCAAACCUCCUCCGUGCACUCGGUCCAGGAUGGAGAACAUUUGGAAGCUGAGGCAGUGCAUACGGUGGCAGAAGAGAGUCGCGCACAGGGAUCCAUCGGAUUCAGUAUCUACAUGAAGUACCUGCGGGCCGGUGCCAGCAUUUUGUUUGUGGUCAUUGUGAUGCUCCUGAACAUUUUGGCUCAGGUGGCGUACAUUGUGCAGGACUGGUGGCUGGCUUACUGGGCUGAGGAGCAAAGAAAACUGGACACCAACAGCACCAUGGAGCACAAUGUCACCAAAGUUAACAAAGAGCUGGACCUUGGAUUCUACUUGGGCAUUUAUGGAGGUUUAACAGCAGCUACCAUCAUUUUUGGCUUUGUGAGGACUUUGCUGAUGUUCAACGUGCUGGUGAGAUCUACACAGGCCCUGCAUGACAAAAUGUUUUCCGCCAUCCUUCGCACUCCCGUGCGCUUCUUUGACAUCAACCCCAUUGGCCGAGUUUUAAACCGGUUUUCGAAAGAUGUUGGCCAGCUGGAUUCCACCAUGCCAUGGACCUUUGUUGACUUCAUUCAGGUUUUUUUGCAAAUAGUCGGGGUGGUUGCAGUGGCGGUGGGUGUGAUCCCUUGGAUUCUUCUUCCUGUGGUCCCCCUACUCAUUGUCUUCCUCUUCCUCCGGCGUUACUUCCUGGAGACCUCCAGAGACAUCAAACGUCUCGAGUCCACAACUCGGAGCCCAGUUUUCUCGCACCUGUCUUCCUCCCUGCAUGGCCUGUGGACUAUUCGGGCCUUCAGAGCAGAGGGCCGCUUCCAAAAGGCUUUUGAUGCCCAUCAGGACAUGCACACAGCGGCGUGGUUCCUUUUCCUGACCACAUCUCGCUGGUUUGCCAUACGCCUCGAUGCCAUGUGCUCCAUUUUUGUGACAGUCACCACAUUUGGCUGCCUGCUGCUCCGAGACCAACUGGACGCCGGCUCUGUGGGUUUGGCUUUGAGCUACUCGAUCACCCUGAUGGGUAUGUUCCAGUGGGGGGUUCGUCAGAGCGCUGAGGUGGAGAACAUGAUGACAUCAGUGGAGAGGGUGGUGGAAUACACUGAACUGGAGAGCGAAGCUCCCUGGGAAACCAAAAAGCGACCUCCGCCUAAUUGGCCCAGCAAGGGUCGGGUGACCUUUGACGGGGUCAACUUUUCCUACAGUGCUGAUGGGCCCAAAGUUUUAGACAACUUGAAAGUGACGUUCCAACCCAAAGAGAAGGUGGGCAUCGUGGGUCGGACAGGUGCUGGGAAAAGCUCUCUUGUGUCAGCCCUGUUUCGCCUGGCUGAACCCCAAGGAAACAUCUUCGUCGACGGCAUUUUGACUUCUGAGCUGGGCCUCCAUGACUUGCGUCAGAGGAUGUCCAUCAUUCCUCAGGACCCGGUGCUGUUCACGGGUACCAUGAGAAAGAACCUGGACCCUUUCAACCAGCAUUCAGAUGAGGAACUGUGGAAUGCACUGCAAGAGGUCCAGCUGAAGGGUGUGGUGGAAGAGCUUCCUGGGAAACUGGAAACUGUUCUGGCUGAGUCUGGCUCCAACUUCAGCGUGGGCCAGAGGCAGCUGGUGUGUCUAGCCAGAGCCAUUCUGAGGAAGAACCGCAUCCUCAUUAUUGAUGAGGCCACUGCCAACGUGGACCCCAGGACAGAUGGACUGAUCCAGAGAACUAUCAGAGAGAAGUUCCAGGAAUGCACCGUGCUCACCAUCGCUCACCGCCUCAACACCAUCAUAGACAGCGAUCGCAUUCUGGUUCUGGAUGCAGGGAGAAUCCACGCGUACGACGAGCCUUACACUCUUCUUCUAGACCCCUCUUCUAUAUUUGGUAAAAUGGUGCAGCAGACCGGCAAGCAGGAGGCUGCGGCCCUGCUACAGGCAGCUAAAGAGGCUUAUGAUGGCAGAAGCCGACCCAACCUCAGCGACGGGGAGGUGCACAUAGCAGAUAAGAGUUUGGUCAUCUUUGAGACAGCUCUGUGAGCCGCACCCUACGACAUUGGAGAGUGUCCAGGACGAAUGCCAAAUGAACGCACAUGAUGCGAACCACUGCUGUACAAACUGUAGAGAUUAAUGUAUUUAUUUUGCAUACUUGUUGGUUUUUUCACACGUAAAAUCGCUGCCUUGUUUUCAAUCUGCAGCAGUCACUUUAUUUUAACGUUUGCUCUUAUAAGCCAAGGAAAACACUUUGAACCAAACAACUGCCAAGUGUCUUCUUGUGAGCAAGGUGAGAGUGUUUCAAAUUUUUGAAAAACAAAUGAAAGCGAUGUUUACUUGUUUUACUGUUAUUGUGAGCCUGCCAUAGACUGAGCAAGCCAAGGAAACACUUUGAACCAAACAAGUGCCAAGUGUCUUCUUGUGAGCAAGCAAGGCUGAGCAAGACGAAGUUGCUACACAAGCCUGUCACCUCCUCCACAGAUGAGACAGACCUCCGACAUUGCGGACACAAGUGCUCCUCUUCGUUGUCCAAAACACCCGUGAGACAUGUUCUGCAGAAAGAGUGGCCGCAGAGAAGCGUGACCGGAUCGGUAAAAAUGUCCAGACAAAUUGAACAAGUCAACUCGCUUGCAAAAGGGUCAAGCGUUAUUCCAAAACAAAAGGUGAAAUCUUCAUAUGACCUACUACUGGGACAGCGGCUUCCCACCAGCAUGCCGUUCAUCCAUCGCCUGGCGAUGAUGGAGUCCAGCCCACACACGAUGAUGUGGAACUCUGCAGGGAGACAAGUUCAAGUUUGGGAGAGGUGACUCACUCUGCUGAAGUUGACAUCUGAAAGAGGAAAAACACACUUACGCCUGUAGAAGGAGUCGUCAAAGUCCUGGAUUUUUUUGAAGUGUCUGAACGUGAAUCUGAUAAGGAAUUAAAAGCAUGUUCUUGCAAGUGUGAUGAGGUCAAGGUUCAUUGGAGACUCUUGAGACUGUUCCAGAUAGGAUACGGUACAACUUUACACCCAGGGAUGCGACUGUUAAUGAAGUCAGCGGCCACUUCUGCUUUUGGUCGGCCGACAUCUUUAGGCCUGA